UGAGUACAAUAGGAGGGCCUCGCACAUA
rnacentral:piRNA from 1 species